rnacentral:tRNA from 2 species
GCGGGUGUAGUUCAAUGGUAGAACUCUUGCUUCCCAAGCAAAUCACGUGGGUUCGAUUCCCAUCACCCGCUCCA